ACAAUAUCAAACCACACACACACAUGCCCAUCCUUAACUAAUCUACACAGGUAUUGACUGUCUUAACCUGACUUCACGCAGUAGUCACUGUUUUGUACACUUGCUUAGACACAGCAACAUACUAUACCUACAUAGCAUCUGCUAAUACAUUACAUUAUGCAUAGCAUCAAGCCGCACCUACAAUAACAUAUAACCCACCUAAUCGCCAACACAGAGUAAUGGGUUUCCAGUCAUGAUAUAAAAGACCCAGUUUAAAGCAACCUUAAAAUAGACCACAAGCACUGCACCGUGUCUGUCUACCCAUGAGAUAAAUGAAUGAAAAGAUAAACACCCAGGUAGGUGGGGAGAACCUGCCUUACUUUGAUGUUGAGUAAACUGUGAAUCAAGUAGGGAAUCCCUUGGAGAUUAAAAUGGCCAUGUAUUAUGUCCAGCAACGAGUAAAACUCAUUGAGUUUUUCUAUUCCAGUGAAAAAUCAACAAUUCAAACCUAGAGAAAAUACCAGCAACAUUUUACUGUCAGAAUAUCUUCUAGUGAUAACAUGAUUUGGAACCUAAUCACCUGGUUUGAAAGAACUGGAUCAGUCAGCAAUAUUCCAGGAAGAGGUCCUAAGCACACCAUGCACACUGAAGCUGUAUGGCAGAAUGUCCUUGAGGAUCCAUCAGCCUCUACCCUUCGUCACUGCUCAACUUGGCAUCGCCAGAACAUCACUUCAGAAGAUUCUGAAACUGCAUUUUAAAAGGUUUCCAUCCAAAUAAAAUAAUUAAAAAAUUUUUUAAACCA